rnacentral:tRNA from 1 species
AGAGCGGUAGUUCAGUUGGUUAGCCUAUUUNUUAGAAUACCGGCCUGUCACGCCGGGGGUCGCGGGUUCGAGUCCCGUCCACUCCGCCA